rnacentral:lncRNA from 1 species
CCCGUCCUUCAGCACUGCACAAACGCUCUGCGGUCACACCCCGUCUCUCCUCGAAGCUUUUCUGCUGAUCCGUACGUUCGGUGCUAAAUUUAAUGUGCUAAACCCCUGCCGUGCGUGCAGGAAUUGUGUCAGCAGAAGAGGCCCCUCCUCCCCGGCGGUGCUGCCCUCAGCGUGUCUCCGUGCUCUCGGACAUUAACAAAUACCAGAUGGUAAACAGCUCAGCGCUGCCUUUAUCUGUAGGCCCACAGAGGUGAUACAGUGCAGGGAAUGCUUCAGCGGCUCUGAAACGAGGCCAGCAUCGGGCUGGAGGGCAGCAGCUGCUUUCUGCUGCGUGUUGUCACUGUGUGUGCUGCAGUCCUCUGCUUCUGACCAGAAAGGAGGGCAGCAGAGGUUUGGCUGAGUCAGAGGAGGUUCAUGGAGCGCUGUCUGCUGCCCAUCCUCAUGUGCGUGGCAGUGUCCUCCAGGUGUCGGCCCGGCUGCUGGGGGAGGACCCGGCCAUUGAGUCUCCCACACUGCAGUUUACCACAGCAGCAGCAACUCAAGAGCACCACAGAGCGGCAAGAGCUGCCACCUCCUGGUCGAGUGUGCAGCAGAGCUCAUGGGCCGGCAGGGUCCCGUGUGUCCAAACUUCAGUCUCCUCACACCUGUGUUCCCAGAGCCCUGCAGAGCCUACCCUCACUCAGCUGCUCCCAGAGGCUCUGUCCUGGAUGUGGCAUCCCCUCCAGCUGUUGGUAUCUGCUUUUGGACAGUGUUAGGAAAAAAGUGCAG